ACGAACGCUGGCGGCGUGCUUAACACAUGCCAGUCGAACGGAAAGGCCCUGCUUUUGUGGGGUGCUCGAGUGGCGAACGGGUGAGUAACACGUGAGUAACCUGCCCUUGACUUUGGGAUAACUUCAGGAAACUGGGGCUAAUACCGGAUAGGAGCUCCUGCUGCAUGGUGGGGGUUGGAAAGUUUCGGCGGUUGGGGAUGGACUCGCGGCUUAUCAGCUUGUUGGUGGGGUAGUGGCUUACCAAGGCUUUGACGGGUAGCCGGCCUGAGAGGGUGACCGGCCACAUUGGGACUGAGAUACGGCCCAGACUCCUACGGGAGGCAGCAGUGGGGAAUAUUGCACAAUGGGCGGAAGCCUGAUGCAGCCACGCCGCGUGCGGGAUGACGGCCUUCGGGUUGUAAACCGCUUUCGCCUGUGACGAAGCGUGAGUGACGGUAAUGGGUAAAGAAGCACCGGCUAACUACGUG
rnacentral:rRNA from 1 species